rnacentral:misc_RNA from 1 species
UUGAAUUUUAAACUUGGGAUGUUGCUGACCCCUUCACCCGGGUAACGUGCACUCCCUUGAUAUUCAAAUCCACCUGUGCACAAUUGAGUAGGCAUAGAUUGAGUUCUGUGCCUAUGUUUUACACACACACUAUGCUUGUAACAGAUGGCCAUUGUAUAAUAUAAUCAUAUUA